rnacentral:lncRNA from 1 species
UGUUUACAAAAGUCAUCUAUUUAAAGCGGGCAGAGAUAGUGAACUCCAAGGACGUGACUUUGCGCACGGGAUGCUAGAAUGACUACUGCAAGAUAAGAGAAUAAUGCGAUGUGGAAUGUUGAAUGGAAUCGCUUGAAUGACCGCAGCAGUACAAAUUAAUUGCUUGGAUAAGGAAACCUUCACUUCUGUCGGAUAUCCCCGUAAAAAAGCCAUUUUUAAGUCUUCAAAAUAGUGGAAAAGGGAGUGACACGGCCACUGUUACUUGAAACCAUCAACUUUCCGGGAAGCAGCCUGCGUCAACUGAGGAAAAAGUUGGAAGUGUUGUAUGACAGAUCAAAUGUAAAUUAAUUUGAUUUACUUGACAGAUACCUUACAAGGCAGGAAGGUGGACUUGACACAUAUGAUGGUUGGGUAGAGGUUUUACUCGGUUUUCAACUCAAUCUUCUCUUUUCUAAUGUUUUUUUUUGUAGUGUUGGCGUUGUUUCCUUUACACGCUGUGAUUGAUGUGGAAAUAACCUACAAAUAAUGACGAUGCAUUCUUCUUAAUCGGCACAUCCAAUCAUGUAUGAUGAAAAGCGUAUUCAAAUACCUCUUGAAAUUUCUAUGCAAGAAAAACAAGAUGAGAUGUUUGAACAAGGGAUGAUUACUACAGCCCAUCCCAAGAUUUCCGCCUCCGGCUUUAUUUCCUGAAGAGGACCUCCCCUUUAUCAUUCUACCUAUUGUUUUGUAACAUGAGCUGUGGGAUGUAAUCUAGCUGAUGAACAAAAACAGCCUUCCGUCUGUCAGUAAGCACAUAUAAGGGACGUGGAUGACUAGCCACAGCUUCAUUUCUCACGAUUACAUAUUUCUUAGAGGUUUGUUGUCAAUCGGGAGAACUUUAAGAUGAAAAAUGUAUGCAUCGGAACACUUUUUUUGCUUUGCAUCGUACCUGUUCUCCUAUGGCCAAUGGAAGAGUCACUGCAUCCACUGCCAGCAUCAUUGGCGGAAGAAGGAUUCGAAGUAGCUGGUCGGCAUCCGAGGGCAGUUCGUUCUACUCCAGCUACAGCAACUACCAGUAGCCGUAAAACCUCGACCAAAAGUCCAGUUCCGGCAGAGCGUAAGGUGUCCACUACGACUCACCAUACUGGCCCGACGCUCACUCCUACCCACCAUUCUCAAUUAAGGACAACGAAAAAAACCAAGUUAAA